rnacentral:rRNA from 1 species
UACGAAGGGGGGCUAGCGUUGCUCGGAAUCACUGGGCGUAAAGGGCGCGUAGGCGGAUCUUUUAAGUCGGGGGUGAAAGCCCAGGGCUCAACCCUGGAAUUGCCUUCGAUACUGAAGAUCUCGAGGCCGGAAGAGGUAAGUGGAACUGCGAGUGUAGAGGUGAAAUUCGUAGAUAUUCGCAAGAACACCAGUGGCGAAGGCGGCUUACUGGUCCGGUUCUGACGCUGAGGCGCGAAAGCGUGGGGAGCAAACAGG